UAUUAGAUUCUUAUGAUUCUUGACCUAAAUACCAGUGAAAUAUUUUAAGGAGUAUAAUUGGACCAUACAAAAAAUAUUAAACCACUGGACCAUUGAAUUUUAUCAUUUUGUACUACUUGAGUCACAUUUUUUUUUAUGUUUUUGGCCGAGCACUCCAAAUUAUAUGUACCUACUCAUUUAUAAAUGCUUGUAAUUAGUUAUAAAAAAAAUAUUUGUAAUUGAUAACAUCCACUAAAGUUGAUUUUUUUUCCAAAAUUACACCUAUCAAAUGUCAUAAAAAAGAAGAAGAUAAAGCUGAAAUGAAGCACUUCUCGAAUAACGUGAAAAGCAUCUAUCAUAAUGUCAGAGAUAGAAACCACCAUAAUGAGUAGUUUUGAGUCUAGCACACAGUUUUACAAAAAACAAGACAAUAAAUAUUUGUAUUUAUACCAAUAACCUUUCCAACCAUUCCAUUCACCCAAAACCUAAUAAAAAAUAGCAGAGUUUUCAAUCCUUGAUAAAUUUGCCAAAGGAUAACAAUCAUUGCCUGCAUGAAGUUAACAUAUUUUCUAAUCAGUAUGGGCAAAAAACACAUAACAGAGAGCAAAGUAAAUGUAGCCAAGCUUGCAACUGUGUUUCCUUUUAUAAAGUCACCAAUGCUUUAAAAGAAUUUUGCGAAAAAAGAUUGGGAAAAGAACUCAUCUCUUAUAGUGAUGAAGCUACCAAACAAUAGGAAACAAGAAGUAUGUUGAAGUUAAA